ACUCAAAGGAAUUGACGGGGGCCCGCACAAGCGGUGGAGCAUGUGGUUCAAUUCGACGCAACGCGAAGAACCUUACCCAGGCUUGAACAGCGAGUGAUCAGCGAUGAAAGUCGCCUUCCGCAAGGACACUCGUAGAGGUGCUGCAUGGCUGUCGUCAGCUCGUGUCGUGAGAUGUUGGGUUAAGUCCCGCAACGAGCGCAACCCUUGUUUGCUGUUGCCAUCAGGUAAUGCUGGGCACUCUGCAAAGACUGCCGGUGAUAAACCGGAGGAAGGUGGGGAUGACGUCAAGUCAGCAUGGCCUUUAUGUCUGGGGCUACACACGUGCUACAAUGGCCGAUACAAACCGUCGCAAAACCGCAAGGUGGAGCUAAUCGGAGAAAGUCGGUCUCAGUUCGGAUUGUAGGCUGCAACUCGCCUGCAUGAAGUUGGAAUCGCUAGUAAUCGCGGAUCAGCACGCCGCGGUGAAUACGUUCCCGGGCCUUGUACACACCGCCCGU
rnacentral:rRNA from 1 species